UAUACUCCAUAUCCAAGGGUCUGCUGGGAGGUGGGAGCUGGAGAAGAAGGAAAAUCCCCAGGAUUGUGGGAAGAUGCUCAUCAGAACUCAUCACAGCUAAACUAAAGGACAACUGUUGGUACUGACCCUGACCAAGCCCUCCUUAAAGCAGCUUUUCUGCCUGUUCUAAAAGAUCUCUGCUCCGGAUUUUACCUAGAUAAGGUCUAGAGAACUUGGUGCUGACCUACAUCAACACUAUCAACAGUGGGGAUUUGCCCUUCAUGGAGAACAAAGUCCUGGCACUGCCCAGACAGAGAAUGCAGCUGCAAUAAAAAAGGUCCUUGCCCACUAUGAAAAGCUGAUGGGCCAGAAGGUGCAGCUGUCCAAAGAGACCCUCCAAGAGCUGCUGGACCUGCACAGGGCCAGUGAGAGAGAGGCCAUAGAAAUCUUCACAAAGAACUGUUUCAAGGAUGAGGACCAAAGUUUCCAGAAGCAAUUAUAGACCCUAUUAGAUGAAAAGCAGAAAGACAUUUGUAAGUGAAUGAAGAAGCCUCUUCAGAUCAUUGCUCAGCUUUCUUCAGGAUAUUUUUGGUCCUCUGGAAGAAGUGGUGAAACAGGGGCUUUAUUCUAAACAAGGAGGCCAUAACCUCUACCUUCAGAAGACAGAGAAUCUGAAGACAAAGUAUCACAAGCAGUUCAGGAAAGGAAUACAGGCUGAGGAAGCUCUGCAAAAGUAUUUAAAGUCCAAAGAGUCUGUGAGUAAAGCUGUUCUACAGACAGACCAGGCUCACAGCCAAGGAAAAGGAGAUGGAAGAGGCACAUGCAAAAGCAGAGGCUGCCAAGGCUGAAGCAGAAAGUGUGGAGGAGAUUCGCAGGCAUAUGCGGCAAAUGAUGGAAGAGAAGGAGAGACUCCAUCAGCAGCAACUAAGACAAAUAGAGAUAGAAAGAGCAAAGUGUCUGGCACAGCAACAGUUGGAGCAGGAACGUCAUCUGGGGGAAGAAGCCGAAAAGCUCAAGUUGAUGCAUCAAGCUGAAAUGUCAAGGUUUCAAGAUCAGAUCCAGCAUAUCCACAGAACAAUGUCUGAGCCACAAGCUGCUCGAUGUAUCAUACUCUAAAGUACAUCAAAGCUUCCUUAUUUCUUUUCGCUAAAGACACAAAGAAACAAGAAACUAAAGAACUUGGAACAAUCAACAUUUAAAUAAUCCCAAAGCUUUCUGCCUAGUCUUGUAAUUUGUCUCUAGAUAUUGCAAGUCACCCAGGCGUCUAGGUAUUGCAAAUUAUCACAUGGGCUCAGUCAAAUGGAAUGGUACCCUGUUCAGCAUCACUACUGCUUAUGGUCAUGUGCUGGAUGCCAUCACAGGGAGGCACCAAUGGUACCAUGGAACAAUCCACAGUUUUUACCUGGUUGGAGACUGCUAUACUAUGGGCAGUGGUGAAGAUUAUCAGCACUCUCAGUUGGCCUUCUGCAUAGAGAAAUUCCAAAUUCAAAGGAAACAAUGUUAACAUGAAAUGGAAAUCUUUAGAGGAUGAAAGGAAAUACUACUAUGGAAAUUGUGUCAUAAGCUUAAGGACUAAACAAAAAGCUUUUUCCUUUUCUCUAAUCCUCACUAAUUCAUAACUUAUAAUAGGUAACAACUUACAUGUGACUUAAUAUUUUUGCAUUACAUAUUUAUAAUCCUUUAGAGCUUGUAAAUAGGAAUCAUAAGUAAUAAUGUGUAAUGAGCCCAAGUACUGAUGGUGCUCAUAGAAUGAGUUUGGAAGGGUUCCUUCCUUUUCUAUUUCAUGUAAUACUUUGAGGAGUAUUGGCUUUAAUUUUUC